GUGUCGAUUAAGCCAUGCGAGUUAAAUGUUCUUCGUGAACAUAGCAGACUGCUCAGUAACACGUGGAUAACCUGCCCUUAGGACUGGCAUAACCCCGGGAAACUGGGGAUGAUCCGGAUAGAUCAUAAAUGCUGGAAUGCUUUAUGAUUGAAAGGUUUCGACCGCCUUAGGAUGGAUCUGCGGCCUAUCAGGUUGUAGUGGGUGUAAUGUACCUACUAGCCUACGACGGGUACGGGUUGUGGAAGCAAGAGCCCGGAGAUGGAUUCUGAGACAUGAAUCCAGGCCCUACGGGGCGCAGCAGGCGCGAAAACUUUACAAUGCGGGAAACCGUGAUAAGGGAACACUGAGUGCUAGCAUUUAUGUUAGCUGUCCACAUGUGUAAAUAGCAUGUGAUAGCAAGGGCUGGGCAAGACCGGUGCCAGCCGCCGCGGUAACACCGGCAGCCCGAGUGGUGAUCACUAUUAUUGGGUCUAAAGGGUCCGUAGCCGGUUUAAUCAGUCUUCUGGGAAAUCUAAUCGCUUAACUAUUAGGCUUCCAGGGGAUACUGUUAGACUUGGGACCGGGAGAGGUAAGAGGUACUGCAGGGGUAGGAGUGAAAUCUUGUAAUCCCUGUGAGACCACCAGUGGCGAAGGCGUCUUACCAGAACGGGUCCGACGGUGAGGGACGAAAGCUGGGGGCACGAACCGGAUUAGAUACCCGGGUAGUCCCAGCUGUAAACGAUGCUCGUUAGGUGUCAGGAACGGUGCGACUGUUUCUGGUGCCG
rnacentral:rRNA from 1 species